rnacentral:rRNA from 1 species
GUGUCAGCCGCCGCGGUAAUACGUAGGGUGCGAGCGUUAAUCGGAAUUACUGGGCGUAAAGCGUGCGCAGGUGGUUUUGUAAGUCAGAUGUGAAAUCCCCGGGCUUAACCUGGGAACUGCGUUUGAAACUGCAAGGCUAGAGUGUGGCAGAGGGGGGUGGAAUUCCGCGUGUAGCAGUGAAAUGCGUAGAGAUGUGGAGGAACACCGAUGGCGAAGGCAGCCCCCUGGGUCAGCACUGACGCUCAGGCACGAAAGCAUGGGGAGCAAACAGGAUUAGAUACCCUGGUAGUCCAUGCCCUAAACGAUGUCAACUAGUUGUCGGGUCUUAACGGGCUUGGUAACGUAGCUAACGCGUGAAGUUGACCGCCUGGGGAGUACGAUCGCAAGAUUAAAACUCAAAGGAAUUGACGGGGACCCGCACAAGCGGUGGAUUAUGUGGAUUAAUUCGAUGCAACGCGAAAAACCUUACCUACCCUUGACAUGUAUCGAAGCCCGCAGAGAUGUGGGUGUGCCCGAAAGGGAACGAUAACACAGGUGCUGCAUGGCUGUCGUCAGCUCGUGUCGUGAGAUGUUGGGUUAAGUCCCGCAACGAGCGCAACCCUUGUCAUUAAUUGCCAUCAUUUAGUUGGGCACUUUAAUGAGACUGCCGGUGACAAACCGGAGGAAGGUGGGGAUGACGUCAAGUCCUCAUGGCCCUUAUGGGUAGGGCUUCACACGUAAUACAAUGGCGCGUACAGAGGGUUGCCAACCCGCGAGGGGGAGCCAAUCUCAGAAAGCGUGUCGUAGUCCGGAUCGGAGUCUGCAACUCGACUCCGUGAAGUCGGAAUCGCUAGUAAUCGCGGAUCAGCAUGUCGCGGUGAAUACGUUCCCGGGU